rnacentral:rRNA from 1 species
GGAAUAUUGGUCAAUGGGCGCAAGCCUGAACCAGCCAUGCCGCGUGCAGGAAGACGGCCCUACGGGUUGUAAACUGCUUUUGCAGGGGAAUAAACCUCAUUACGAGUAAUGAGUUGAAUGUACUCUGAGAAUAAGGAUCGGCUAACUCCGUGCCAGCAGCCGCGGUAAUACGGAGGAUCCAAGCGUUAUCCGGAUUUAUUGGGUUUAAAGGGUGCGUAGGCGGCCUAUUAAGUCAGGGGUGAAAGACGGUAGCUUAACUAUCGCAGUGCCUUUGAUACUGAUGGGCUUGAAUAUACUAGAGGUAGGCGGAAUGUGACAAGUAGCGGUGAAAUGCAUAGAUAUGUCACAGAACACCAAUUGCGAAGGCAGCUUACUAUGGUAUGAUUGACGCUGAGGCACGAAAGCGUGGGGAUCAAACA